ACCUGACUGGCUUAGCUGGUAGAGCACGUGUCUCUUGAUCUUGGAGCUGUGAGUUUGAGCCUCAUAUUGGGUG
rnacentral:tRNA from 1 species